AAAAACGUCACCUCCAACCAAACUCAUCCAUUUCUCCUAAUAGAAAAGCACCAUUAAAGGUGAGCUUCGAGCUCUAACCAUGAGCAAACAACGGAGCUCCAACGAGUUCACUGAUUUGCACAACCUCCGAUAAACAACUACCAAAUAGCUCCGACCACCACAAGCUCCAAAACACAACCCACAACGCAGCCGACAAAACUCCAACCCACAGACCUCACUGGUUUGGCAAGACAGCCAACGACCCCAAGCUCCAUGCUUUGGCGAACCAGAUCAAAACCCCAUGAGACAGCCUCCACCAUAGCUCUCUUGUCAGCUCUGAGCUCAAUUUUCGGUGAGGUUUGAGUUUUCGCUUCUAAAUCUAAUUAAAAUUGAUGUUGUUUUACUUUGUGUUUGCUCUUCUUGUUACUAUGUUCAGUUGCAUUUCAAAUGUCAAAUGUUAUCUCAUUUUAGAUUUGGCUGGAGGGGUUCAAACUCCGGCCACCUUGGGUCGGAUAUGAUUUACGGGUCAAAUAUCCUAAUAAAAGAGAUGUAUUCAUUUUUUAAAAAUAUAAAUGUCAUGUGGUAAUUAAAAAGUAUGUGUCAAUUUCAUUUGUUAUUUAAAGAAAGGGAAAAAUAAGCUGGUUAUUUCCAGCAAAGCAACUAAGGUCUACAAGGGCAUGUAUAUGCGGAAAGUUGGACGGCGAGGGCACGAGUGAGCCAAACUUUAAACGGGGUAUAUCUAGACAUCUUCGAAUAGUUUAGGGGCAUAUUUGAUCGUUUUCCCAUUAAAGAAACAAAAUGAUUUAUUAUUUUUUAGAUGAUUAAAAAAGAAUUUUUGAUAUUUUCCAACUUAUAAUUUGUUAUUAAAUUUUUAUUUUAGAGUGGGUUGGCGGC
rnacentral:lncRNA from 1 species